rnacentral:tRNA from 7 species
GCCCGUUUAGCUUAGGGGUAGAGCGUUGCACUUGUAAUGCAAAGGUCACUGGUUCGAUUCCAGUAUCGGGCA